CACAACUCUGAACGCGGUCCCUACCUUGGCAUAUGAGGAUGUCAACCCAACUGCUGACCCACAUUAGAUGGAGGCCCAGCAGGGACCCCGUAGAGGGAGAGGCCGAGGUUUUGCACCUAGAAAUAGGUCCAAUCCGAACCUCUCAGGAUACUGUUUGUACCACAGGUCCUACGGGCACAAUACCGCAUUGCAGAGACUAUGCACACCGCUCCCGGCAGGAACCCGCCAGAGAAAGACAUGACUCGCCCUAGGCGAACAGGCCCCCGCCCAGGCACAACCAACAUGGGCGUGAGGCGGCCGCUCCUCGUCAAAGAAAUGUAUCCCCAAGGCGAAGAGAGCAAGACACAGAGAGGCCCAGGGAAGGGCGUAGACACCGAAGAAAUAGGCAAGCUCGAGAUGAGGCCCCUAUCCACGAGAUAGAUACCAUAUUUGGAGGCCCUUAUAUUGGCGGUGAAACACGAAACGCCAAAAGAAAUUAUGCUAGGGAGGCUAAGCACCCCCCUCUGACGAGUUACAUUGUGAACAGUAGCUCUCGAAGAAACCAAGUACCAUCCAUUGUCUUCACCCAGGAACACGCCGAAGGAGUUCAUUACCCCCACUGCGAUGCGCUGGUGGUGAGGGCUGUCAUAGCCCGAAAUGGGCUCAAACGAACGCUAGCCGACAGCGGCAGCUCCGUCAACAUCCUAUUCGGGUCUGCCUUUGACAAGAUGAUAUUGGACCAUCAGUUGACGCCCACCACUACUCCAUUGUAUGGAUUUACCGGAGAUAGCAUCACUCCGAGGGGAAAGAUAACACUGGCAGUAGAGAUGGGAGAAUCUCCUCAAACUACGAUGAACUUCAUGGAAUUCCUCGUAGUUGACAGCCGGUCGGCUUACCACGGAGUCUUGGGCAGACCGGCCCUAAAGGAAUUGGGAGCAGUCACCUCCAUCCACCACCUAUGCAUGAAAUUCCCAACAGAAAAUGGGGUCGCAACGGUGAGAGGCGACCAGAGAGGCUUGAGAGAGUGCUAUCUAAGCUCCAUUAAGAAGGUAGAGCCCCGGGACGUCCACGUGAUCAUGGCUGAUAUGGUCGUGGCGGAUGUCCCAGGUGACGCUCCCACUGAUCAGGAAGAUGUUGAUAUGAUUGACGCACCGCUUAAUCAGGAGGUGCUGAUCGUUAAUGAGAUCGACCCCUGCAUAAUGGAACAUGAGUCUCAAGCAUUCCCUGUAGAGGAACUUGAGAGCUUCCCAGCCGACCCCCGAGAUCCGUCCAAGGUGUUGAAAGUAGGCAGAGGCCUAUCCAAUAUUUUGAGAGAAAAGAUUAAGGACUUCCUAGGCAAGAACCUUGACGUCUUUGCUUGGAGGCAUGAGGACAUGGUAGGCAUAGAUCCUAAGAUCAACUGCCACCACUUGAAAAUUGAUCCUAAUGUUGCCCCGCAUAGACAAAAAAGGAGAGCCCUCAACCCUGAGAGGUAUGAGGCCCUAAAGGAAGAGGUUUAGAAGCUCAUCCAAAAUGGCUUCAUUAGGGAGGCCACCUAUCCGAGG
rnacentral:lncRNA from 1 species